rnacentral:lncRNA from 1 species
CUGCCUGUAGUUUAUUUUUGUCCUCAAUGUUCCAAAGGUUCAUCCCAUUAAAAGGCUAACAAGUUUAGCAGCGCUAAAUCUAGCUAAUAUUGUGUUUUUAGCGGGCCAAAUAAAGGCUAUUAGCGGCUAAUUUCAAUUAGCGUUAAAUGAUGCAUCUCUUAGCUUCAAACCUCCCCAAAGGCUAUAUAGCCAGCUAAAACACUGAUUGCUAGUACUCAUUUUGAAGUUUACAUGGAAAUAUAAGAGAUCUAACUGUAGUUCUAGAUAUAAAUAAAGCGUAUAUUAAAGAUAAUUGGUUGUAUCGUUGUAUGUUUGAUGUCCCAAGUCCUAUAAAGGACAAAUUGUAACAAACGUUGCAAACACAAGGGACACAUCUGGUGCGUGCUCGACAGCAACGCUGAGCACAUGCAGCAACACUGAGAGCACAUGAUCAUCUGUUUGCAAGCGCGGUAACUCUCAAAUGUUUUCGCAAACAAGUUCGAGUCAAUUUAGCCUUUUGAAAGUGUUUUUUUAUAAAUAGUUUUGCAUACUCUCCGAGUGCAUCAUAGUCCAAUUAGGCUCCCCUCUUAAUAGUACAGUCAUUUGUUUCCAUUUUGUUUUUUCCGCUUUCUUAUUUUUCAAGUUGAGCACUUAAUUACCACUUGUGACCAUCACCAUCAUCUUUAUGAUUACCAUCCUAGCUCAAUAUUGGACGUGGAUUUAACUUGCCUCGCACGCAACAUUAGAGUAGACCACUAAUUCUCUCAAUUACCAAAACCAAACAUAGCGAUUUAAGA